rnacentral:rRNA from 1 species
GACGUAGGGCGCGAGCGUUGUCCGGAUUUAUUGGGCGUAAAGAGCUCGUAGGCGGUGUGUCGCGUCGGCCGUGAAAACCUGUAGCUUAACUGUGGGCUUGCGGUCGAUACGGGCAUCACUGGAGUUCGGCAGGGGAGACUGGAAUUCCUGGUGUAGCGGUGAAAUGCGCAGAUAUCAGGAGGAACACCGGUGGCGAAGGCGGGUCUCUGGGCCGAUACUGACGCUGAGGAGCGAAAGCGUGGGGAGCGAACAGG